rnacentral:misc_RNA from 1 species
GCAAACUUGGUCAUUUAGAGGAAGUAAAAGUCGUAACAAGGUCUCCGUAGGUGAACCUGCGGAGGGAUCAUUACAGAGUUGCAAAACUCCAAAACCUCGCGAACAUACCAAUCGUUGCUUCGGCGGGCGGCCCGGGUGGGCCUGCGGCCUGUAAAGGUGCCCGCCGGAGCCCCUGUGAAACUCUGCAGCAAGCGGCCUCUCUGAGUACUACGGAAUACGUCAAAACUUUCAGCAACGGAUCUCUUGGUUCUGGCAUCGAUGAAGAACGCAGC